rnacentral:lncRNA from 1 species
GUGAAACCCUGUCUCUACUAAAAAUACAAAAUACAAAAAAAAUCAGCCUGGCAUGGUGGCGGGCGCCUGUGGUCCCAGCUACUCUGGAGGCUGACGCAGGAGAAUGCCGUGAACCCGGGAGGCGGAGCUUGCAGAGAGCCGGAGAUCACGCCACUGCACUCCAGCCUGGGCUACAGAGCAAGACUCCGUCUCAAAAAAAACCAAAACAAAACAAAACAAAAAAAACACCCAGUUUUUCCAUGGAGUGAUAGAAUUUAAUUGAUGAGCUUGACGAGCUUAAUUACAGAAGGGAGAGCUCCAAAAUACAUGAGAUUUUCCAUGUCUACUCUGGUGCCAUUACUGGAAGAUCCUUCCAUUUUCUACAAGGGAUUUUUACCUAUAUUGUUGAGAAGUGGAAUCCCCUUUGGUAGCUCUGUACCUUCAGCUUCUCCCUCUGUGGUAUCCAUUCCCUGCCACAACUAUAGAAUCUGCAAUCUGGAAAAAAUGACAUAACCACUAAAAA